UGGGGGAUAUUGCACAAUGGGCGAAAGCCUGAUGCAGCGACGCCGCGUGAGGGAAGACGGUCUUCGGAUUGUAAACCUCUGUCCAUGGGGACGAAGAAAGUGACGGUACCCGUGGAGGAAGCCACGGCUAACUACGUGCCAGCAGCCGCGGUAAUACGUAGGUGGCGAGCGUUGUCCGGAAUUACUGGGUGUAAAGGGAGCGCAGGCGGGGGAUCAAGUCAGGCGUGAAAACUAUCGGCUCAACCGGUAGUGGCGCUUGAAACUGAUUUUCUUGAGUGAGGUAGAGGCAGGCGGAAUUCCUAGUGUAGCGGUGAAAUGCGUAGAUAUUAGGAGGAACACCAGUGGCGAAGGCGGCCUGCUGGGCCUUUACUGACGCUGAGGCUCGAAAGCGUGGGGAGCAAACAGG
rnacentral:rRNA from 2 species